UAUAAACAUACCAACGAUUCGCGUAGUAAUCUCAGACAAUACUGCAUUACGUUAUGCAGUGUAAAAGUUUUGUCAACAAACCCACGUUGAGAACAACUGGUGACUGUCCAUCUUCGACAUACGUAAGAUGAAUGUCAAGAAACUGAUUAACAUUAACUGACAAGAGGAGACAAUGAGAGCUCAACAUCAUUCUUCAUCUCUGGUGAAGGGGAGAGUUGCUAAAUUUGGGUGCACAGCUAAAUUCAAGCAAAACAAAGAAAAAGACGGAUGCUAUAAAAAUGCGGUGUUGGCUUCCCAGUUCAGCACUUUUAAAGAGGGACAAACAUUGCACGUUUGCAACUUCUAAAUGGAAGCAGGGCAUCUGAAAUAUGCUGGAAUCCUCAUCUUAGUGGCCUUAACGCCAUUUUCAAGAAUAUCCUGCUGAAAAAGACAGUUUUCAUUGGUAUAAUGGAUGCAAGACAACACUAGUGAAUUGAAAUUGUUGUUACCACAAAUGGCACACUCCAUGAUAACACGCUUUCCAAAAACACCAUUACGGCAUGCAGCCAUAAAGGGAUUCUUUGAAAGUCUAUGUUCUGUAAUGGUGGAAGAUUCCAUUAGUAUUAAAAUAAAAACUUAAAAGUUAAAAGUUCAAAUGUCUUCAAUACUAGAGACCUGUGAUUUGACAGUACAACAUGGAGCAAUUGUAAAGGACACAUAAUUUGUACAUUAUUGAAUAUCAAAA